rnacentral:rRNA from 1 species
ACUCCUACGGGAGGCAGCAGUGGGAAUAUUGCACAAUGGGGAAGCCAUCGAUGCAGCCAUGCCGCGCUGUGUGAAGAAGGCCAAUUCGGGCUUGGUUAAGACACUUUUCAGUAGGGAGGAAGGUAGUGUAGUUAACACCUGCAUUAUUUGACGUUACCUACAGAAGAAGCACCGGCUAACUCCGUGCCAGCAGCCGCGGUAAUACGGAGGGUGCGAGCGUUAAUCGGAAUUACUGGGCGUAAAGCGCAUGCAGGCGGCCUGUUAAGUCAGAUGUGAAAGCCCGGGC